rnacentral:piRNA from 1 species
UCAGCAUUUGAAAGCUUAAAAUGCCAUGGAGU